UACGUAGGGGGCAAGCGUUGUCCGGAUUUAUUGGGCGUAAAGCGCACGCAGGCGGUCUGUUCAGUUUGGAGUGACAGUUCCUGGCUCAACCGGGAAAGUGCUUCGAAUACUGGCGGACUUGAGGGCUUCAGAGGGACACGGAAUUCCGGGUGGAGUGGUGAAAUGCGUAGAGAUCCGGAGGAACACCAAAGGCGAAGGCAGCUCGCUGGGACGGUACUGACGCUGAGAGACGAAAGCUAGGGGAGCGAAUGGG
rnacentral:rRNA from 1 species